rnacentral:tRNA from 1 species
GGCUUGGUAGCUCAGCUGGUAGAGCGCUUGCCACGUUGGGGCAUGGAGUUUCUGUAGCUGGUUCGAACCCAGCCGAAGUCC